rnacentral:rRNA from 1 species
UACGGGAGGCAGCAGUGGGGAAUAUUGCACAAUGGGCGCAAGCCUGAUGCAGCCAUGCCGCGUGUAUGAAGAAGGCCUUCGGGUUGUAAAGUACUUUCAGCGGGGAGGAAGGCGAUGCGGUUAAUAACCGCGUCGAUUGACGUUACCCGCAGAGGAAGCACCGGCUAACUCCGUGCCAGCAGCCGCGGUAAUACGGAGGGUGCAAGCGUUAAUCGGAAUUACUGGGCGUAAAGCGCACGCAGGCGGUCUGUUAAGUCAGAUGUGGAAUCCCCGGGCUUAACCUGGGAACUGCAUUUUGAAACUGGCAGGCUUGAGUCUUGUAGAGGGGGUAGAAUUCCAGGUGUAGCGGUGAAAUGCGUAGAGAUCUGGAGGAAUACCGGUGGCGAAGGCGGCCCCUGGGACAAAGACUGACGCUCAGGUGCGAAAGCGUGGGGAGCAAACGAGGAUUAGGAUACC